UAACCACUCCCCUUGAUAAAUAACAACCCCCUUCUCCACAACUCUCUCGUUUACCACUGAGCUUCAUUUUUACAGCAAAAGCCCUAGCAUCCCCUCUCAUCUCUUCAUCAAACUAUGGCAGAAGAAUAUGCUCUCGGUGCCUAUGGUACCAGUUACUCAAAGUCCAUGACUAAAAGCAGUGGAAAUCAGGUGAAUGUGUAUCAACAGACAUACCGUGCUAAGAAUGAGGACAAACAGACUGGAAGCUAUGAGCGCUUCACUGCUAAGGAUAAGACUGUGUGCGGUGAACCGUUUGUGGACAGGUCUGGGAAUCAUGGUUACAAGAGCGAGAACACCACAUCUGCUACCUACAAAGUUGGUGACAAAAGCGGCUAUACUGAGUACUACCGCGAGGACAGGGUGAAGCAUGUUGACUUUGAUAAGAGCAGCAACAGCAACAACAAAAGUGUUGGGUACUACUCCAAAUACAACAAGUAUUAGGUGUUGGCAUCAUCCCCCUUUGGCAUGUAUCCUGGGGGUUAUGAAAUGUUUUCUAUCUGGAUUUCUAGCCUAAUGAAUCUACUGCUAGCAACUACUUAUCUAGCUUUUUGUUGAUGGUACUCUUGUUGGUUUAAAUUUGUGGAGCAGAGAUUUUAACUGUGAUCUUACUAUUGUUUCAGUUUGAAUUUGGCUAAAUCAUUUCUUGGUA